rnacentral:rRNA from 1 species
AUGAAGAUUGCUCAGAGAAUGGUCAGCGACGGCUACACCCAGCGCAUGGUACGAGCAUUCCACAGCACAUCUCCCACCGAAACAGUUGGCCCGGACCUUGUGCUGAAGAAUUGGUUCGUCGAGCUCGACGUAGACUGGGUUCUCCAAUUACGGCUGCAGCUCCAGCUCCAAAAGGUGACUGCGUAUUGGCUACAAGAAUUGGUCCAGAGGUGGAUCCGAGCUCUCACCAUAAUUGUCGCCAGUAUCAAGGAAGUAAUGCUCGUCCAUGAGGCGCUGGCUGUCGCACGGUUUGGCAAAGCAAGUAUCUCAGCGAUGCUCGUCAUUGUCGACACCAUGCUCGAUGUUAUCCAGGAGGAUAAGUUACAGGUUGUCCUACACAUGUAUAUGUGUGUCUCCAGCGCAUCAUACAUGAUUAUGAUGAUGCCCGUUGUCUUUUUGGAAGCUCAACGCAUUCUCGAUGAGAUAAGCGCCUCAUUGAAGGCAGAAGAGAACAGGUUAGUUCAGGCAAUAUCCAGCACCAUGAUGGACAUCAGGACAGAUUAUUAUGAAAUCUCGUGGGAUAUCGAGAUUGAACGAAGCGGAGGCGGAAUUCACACAAAGAUUCGGUUCCUGGUGGAUUGCAUACUAUCAAUGAGGAAAACAUGUGCUUUGACGCUCAACUCUGCACAAAGCCAAUGCACCGUGAAGCUUCGUGACGCGAUAGAUGAAACAAUAGAUUAUCUGAAGGAUCAGCUUCUGAGUGAUUCAAGAAUGUCCUCCGAUCCAAGCCUCAGGUCUAUGUUCUUGCUCAACAACUCCAACUUUGUUGCGCAGCUUCUGGAAAUUAAACUUACAACAGAAUGCGAGAAGUACAAAGAUUUCUAUCUUCAUUUUUCUUGGGCACAUUUGUUGUCCUACAUACAGAAAUCAAAUUUCCUGGAAUUAUCGGUCAUUGGAUCAACACCUCUUCACUAG